UACAGGGGGUGCAAACGUUGCUCGGAAUUAUUGGGCGUAAAGCGCACGUAGGCGGUUUGUUAAGUCGGAUGUGAAAGCCCUCGGCUCAACCGAGGAAGUGCAUUCGAAACUGGCAGACUUGAAUAUGGAAGAGGGUCGCGGAAUUCCCGGUGUAGAGGUGAAAUUCGUAGAUAUCGGGAGGAAUACCAGUGGCGAAGGCGGCGACCUGGGCCAAUAUUGACGCUGAGGUGCGAAAGCGUGGGGAGCAAACAGG
rnacentral:rRNA from 1 species